GAUGGUGUCUACGAUCUACAGGAGGCUCUUCACGUUCUUCAUACACGUCAGGAGACUGUGAGAGAACAGCUCGCAAUCGCCAAAUCUAAAGGAGAGGAGACGAUCAGACAUAGUCUACAGGUACAACUGGACUCUCUGUUGGCCAAACAGGUGGAGCUCUUGCGUGACGCUGCUGUCCAAGAGAGACUGAAAUCGUUGGACUGGCGGAUUCCAACUGCGGCACUGAAAUACCUCGCUCCCACUGCUCAACACUGCAACAGCGGCCUCUCACAUCUUUCUGGCGAGAGACCCCUAAACUUGCGUCUGACCGAUGUGCCGCUGGGCAGGCAAUUAGCCAAUGAGCUCAAACGACAUCACAAACAGAACGCAGAGGAACGACAUCAUAAUCAACAAACCUCUGAAGAUAGAAUGACGGCAGCCAUAGGUUAG